UACGUAGGGUGCAGGCGUUAAUCGGAAUUACUGGGCGUAAAGCGUGCGCAGGCGGUUUGCUAAGACAGGUGUGAAAUCCCCGGGCUUAACCUGGGAACUGCGCUUGUAACUAGCAGGCUAGAGUGUGGCAGAGGGGGGUGGAAUUCCACGUGUAGCAGUGAAAUGCGUAGAGAUGUGGAGGAACACCGAUGGCGAAGGCAGCCCCCUGGGUUAACACUGACGCUCAGGCACGAAAGCGUGGGGAGCAAACAGG
rnacentral:rRNA from 1 species